CGAAGGCUUCGGCCUUAGUGGCGCACGGGUGCGUAACGCGUGGGAAUCUGCCCUCAGGUUCGGAAUAACAGCGAGAAAUUGCUGCUAAUACCGGAUGAUAUCGCGAGAUCAAAGAUUUAUCGCCUGAGGAUGAGCCCGCGUAGGAUUAGCUAGUUGGUGUGGUAAAGGCGCACCAAGGCGACGAUCCUUAGCUGGUCUGAGAGGAUGAUCAGCCACACUGGGACUGAGACACGGCCCAGACUCCUACGGGAGGCAGCAGUGGGGAAUAUUGGACAAUGGGCGAAAGCCUGAUCCAGCAAUGCCGCGUGAGUGAUGAAGGCCUUAGGGUUGUAAAGCUCUUUUACCCGGGAUGAUAAUGACAGUACCGGGAGAAUAAGCUCCGGCUAACUCCGUGCCAGCAGCCGCGGUAAUACGGAGGGAGCUAGCGUUAUUCGGAAUUACUGGGCGUAAAGCGCACGUAGGCGGC
rnacentral:rRNA from 1 species